GUAGGUGAACCUGCGGAAGGAUCAUUAGAGAGACUUUGCCCUUUGGGUAUAUCUCCCACCCUGAUUAUUUUACCUGGUUGCUUUGGCGAGCAGACGCUAUAUGCUGAAGCUCGCCAGAGUGUAUAUACUCUUGUUUCAUGUAGUCUGAGAAAAAUACAAAUAUUUAAAACUUUCAACAACGGAUCUCUUGGUUCUG
rnacentral:misc_RNA from 1 species